UACGUAGGGUGCGAGCGUUGUCCGGAAUUAUUGGGCGUAAAGAGCUCGUAGGCGGUCUGUCGCGUCUGCUGUGAAAACUCGGGGCUUAACCCCGGGCCUGCAGUGGGUACGGGCAGACUAGAGUGCGGUAGGGGAGACUGGAAUUCCUGGUGUAGCGGUGAAAUGCGUAGAUAUCGAGAGGAACACCUGCGGCGAAGGCGGGUUGCUGGGCUGAUACUGACGCUGAGGCGCGAAAGCCAGGGGAGCGAACGGG
rnacentral:rRNA from 1 species